rnacentral:rRNA from 1 species
GGGUUAUGUUGUGGACAUCCUUCGGGAGGGAAGCGAUAUGACCUAGCGGCGGACGGGUGAGUAACGCGUGGGCAAUCUGCCCUAAAGCUCGGGAUAACAGUGGGAAACUGCUGCUAAUACCGGAUGACUUUAUCGGGAGGCAUCUUCGGAUAAAGAAAGUGGUCAAUCAUUGAUUGACCAGCGCUUUAGGAUGAGCCCGCGUCCCAUUAGCUAGUUGGUGAGGUAACGGCUCACCAAGGCGACGAUGGGUAGCCGGCCUGAGAGGGUGAACGGCCACACUGGGACUGAGACACGGCCCAGACUCCUACGGGAGGCAGCAGUAGGGAAUAUUGCACAAUGGAGGGAACUCUGAUGCAGCAACGCCGCGUGAGUGAAGAAGGUUUUCGGAUCGUAAAACUCUGUCAUUGGGGAAGAAUAAAUGACGGUACCCAAUGAGGAAGCCCCGGCUAACUACGUGCCAGCAGCCGCGGUAAUACGUAGGGGGCGAGCGUUGUCCGGAAUUACUGGGCGUAAAGGGUACGUAGGCGGCUAUAUAAGUCAGGUGUGAAAUACCAGUGCUUAACACUGGAAUUGCAUUUGAAACUGUGUAGCUUGAGUGCAGGAGAGGAAAGUGGAAUUCCUAGUGUAGCGGUGAAAUGCGUAGAGAUUAGGAGGAACACCAGUGGCGAAGGCGACUUUCUGGACUGUAACUGACGCUGAGGUACGAAAGCGUGGGUAGCGAACAGGAUUAGAUACCCUGGUAGUCCACGCCGUAAACGAUGGAUACUAGGUGUAGGGGGUAUCGACCCCCCCUGUGCCGGAGUUAACGCAAUAAGUAUCCCGCCUGGGGAGUACGGUCGCAAGACUGAAACUCAAAUGAAUUGACGG